AGAACGAACGCUGGCGGCAUGCCUAACACAUGCAAGUCGAACGAGACCUUCGGGUCUAGUGGCGCACGGGUGCGUAACGCGUGGGAAUCUGCCCCUUGGUUCGGAAUAACUCAGAGAAAUUUGAGCUAAUACCGGAUGAUGACGUAAGUCCAAAGAUUUAUCGCCAAGGGAUGAGCCCGCGUAGGAUUAGCUAGUUGGUGAGGUAAAGGCUCACCAAGGCGACGAUCCUUAGCUGGUCUGAGAGGAUGAUCAGCCACACUGGGACUGAGACACGGCCCAGACUCCUACGGGAGCAGCAGUGGGGAAUAUUGGACAAUGGGCGAAAGCCUGAUCCAGCAAGGCCGCGUGAGUGAUGAAGGCCUUAGGGUUGUAAAGC
rnacentral:rRNA from 1 species